GUUGCUACAUAGUAUCAACGGCCCUUUGUCGCAGUUUUAUCUGGUAAAGCGAAUGAUUAGAGGUCUUGGGGGCGAAACGCCCUCAACCUAUUCUCAAACUUUAAAUUGGUAAGAAGCCCGACUCGCUCGUUUGGAGCCGGGCAUGGAAUGCGAGUGCCAAGUGGGCCACUCUUGGUAAGCAGGACUGGCGAUGCUUGAGG
rnacentral:ncRNA from 1 species